ACCUUGUGCUUGUGAGGCAGGUGCGGUGCUACUGAGCUAAAUCCCUGGCCCAAUAUUUGCCUUUUGUAAACAAGUUUUUUAGGUAUAAUUUCCAAUUCUACCAACCUGAUAUUGUCUCCCAUUGAUUAAUAGGCAUAUUGAGGCAUGUCUUGAGGGAAACAAGAUUCCUUUUGAGAUUCUGAGACCAAAACAGAAGUAAAAGAGAUCAUUCAGAUAAAAAACUUUGAAGACUACUCAAGGUUCAGCGGGAGAAUGGCAUUGUCAAGAUAAUUUUAAUAUUAUUCUAUCAAAAGAUAAAGGGACCUAAAUGAAAAACCUAAGGCACAGAAUGAAUGAUGAGAAGGAAAAGUGGUAAAUAUAUGGAAGAAGAGAGAAUCCUUGAAUUAUAAAGCCUGGACAUUAUCUUGGCCUCUGUCUCCUCAGCAAGAACUUCCUCCAAAUAGCUGGUUCAGGAAAUUCAACUCGUUAAUAAUCAGUAAUAAAGGCCACUUGCACCACCUCAAAACACUUGAUUGUAGCUAGAAGUCCAAAAAGGGAUACAGCCUCAAUACAGAUACUAUAAGAUAAACAUGGAAGACAGAAGCAAAAUUUGUCAGCAGACUAUAAAAAGGUGGCCAUGAAAAGGGAAAAGGGCAUCAAACAUUUCAUUUUUUUCUGGUAAAAGAGUAACUUCUAUAAAGGAAAACUACAAAGAAGAAAUUACAAGAAAGGUAAAACAGCAAAGAUGUAACAAGAGAAGGAAAUGAAUUUGAGACAGCUGGUCUGAGGAGAGAUUAAGAAAAGGCUAAAGCAAAAUUAUCAGAGAAAUGAAGAAAAAUUGGAAUAAGCAUGGGUAACAGUAGACAACGAGAAAAACAAUAAGGAACAAAAUACCACUAGAACAAAAUCUAACUCUCCCAAAUCUUUGAAGAUUUAAACACACACACACACUCAUACUUACACGUGCAUGCACACAUGAAAAUAAAGUGAAAUGUUAAUGGCUAUGAUGUAAAAGGAUACAAAAGAACUUCAUGUUUGGAGUGGCAAGAAUAUCUGGUACAAAAUGGAAAUUAUACUCUUCUAUAGAAUUAAAGGGUCUUAGAUGCAAGGAAGGCCUGAUGGAAGGAGGAGUAGGAUGAAAUGGGUUCUUCGUAGCUACUAGUCAGAGGUAGUUUACUUCCUCCAUCCUGUGGGUAAAUGCAGAUUUACCAAAGCCAUGGAUAAACCUCACCCAAUCCAAACCCUAUAAAGAAUCAGAAAGAAAACAACAACCCUUUCUUCUGACAGCUAAACAAGGAAAGAGUUUGUACUAUUUGGUAUGUAAAUAAAAUAAUUUACUCUUAGUGUCAGGAGUAAAAUUUUUAAAGAUUAAAUGAAGCAAGAAUAUGAUCCGUAUUGAAGAGAAAAAAUAAUGGUGAAAUUUCUCUUAAAGAUCAGGGGCAAGGCAAGUUUGCUUUCACCACUUCCUCUGUGCUAUAGGUCCUAGCCAUAAGAUAGUAAGGAAAGGAAAUGUAUAAGUGUGGAAAAAAAGAAAUUACAAUCUUUAGAAGAUAUGAUGUUGUACAAAGAAGACACAAAGAAAUAUGCAAACAUUAUUUUAGGCAGUUCAAAGUAAACAAGAUCAAUGUACAAAAAUCAGCUUUAUUUCUAAUUAAUAGCAAUGAAUAAUUGAACAAUGAAAAAUUUAAAAUGAUACUAUUUACAAUAGCAGAAAAACAUGAAACAUUCAGGAAGGAAUUCAUGAAACAUUUAAGGAAGUAAUUAUUUGUUCAAUUGUCCUCUACAUUAUUAACAAAACAUUUAUGCAAGACAGUUAAAUUACCUAAGUAAAUAGAAACGUAUAUGAUGUUCAUUGGCUGGUAGAUUCAAUGGCAUUAAGAUGUGAAUUUAUUACAAAUUGGUAUAUAGAUUCCAUUAAAUACCAACCUAAGCACAAUCAGCUAUUUGUGUGAAAAGUGGUACAAAUAGUUUGGAAAAUUGUCAGUUUCUCAUAAAUUUAACAUGUAUUUAGCAAAUGGCUCAGCAAUUCUAUUUCUAGAUAUUUACCAAAGAUUAAUGAAAACACAUGUUCACAAAAUACAAAAAGAUGUUUACAAUACUUUGUUUACAAUAGCCAGCAAUAAAAAAUGCACAAAAAUUCUGUAAAAGGAAAACAGAUAAACAAAUUGUGGUAUAUUCAUGCAAUGGAAUAACAAAAUUAAGACUACUCAUAUCUGUAGUAACAUUAAUAUAAAAACCAUGUUUUGCAUGAGAGAAGCCAGAAAGAAAACAGAACAUGCAUUCUGAUUCCAUUUACAUAAAGUUCAAAGCAGGAAAAAUAAACUAUGGCAAUAAAAAUCAAAACAGUGGUUCCCUCAGUGUAUAUGUAUGUGUAAAUGGGGUGGACAGAGGAAGGGAGUUGUUUGGAUCUAAGGGCCCAGGGCAACAUUUUCUGUAUAAAGGAAAUAUUCGGUACCUUGUUUGGGAUCAGGUAAAUUGACUUAUGAAUAUGUUGAAAUUUGUUCACUGUGUACACUUAAGAUUUGUUCAUUUCUAUAUGUUAAUUAUAUUUGAAUAAAAAUAUUGUGA